UCUAGCUCCAAGCUAACAGAAGCUCUUAUGUUUUUUACCUCUGUGAUUAUUCCCCUCAGGUCCACCAGGAGACAGCAGGACAGGCCCCCCAGGCCCGUCUGGUUCCGCCGGACCUCGUGGUCCCCCCGGGCGUCCGGGCUACGCCGGGGUCCGCGGGCCCCCUGGACCUCCCGGAUACUGCGACUCCUCUCAGUGCGUCGGCAUUCCUUACAACGGGCAGGGAUACGGAGGUUGACCAUAGUAGAGUUUUUUUGCCGCCUGUGCUGCUUUCACUGACUUCCUGAAAAACAAAACCAAAAAAAAAAAAAAAAAAAAGUCCUGUAACUGAAACACUUGCUCGUAAACGCCAAAGGGAACCAUUAACAAAACUGUGCUGAAACACAACACAACAACAACAAAGAGGAACCAGUACUAACAACGACUCACAACCAGUAGAGCAAAACACCAGCGGCAGCAGCAGCAGCAGCCAUGAUGAUGAUGAUGAUGAUGAUGAUGAUGAUGAUGAUGAUGAUGAUGGCACCGACCCGUUUAGUGGCCUGUUUGCAUCUUGAAGCCAAAGACCAAACAAAGCAGCCUUGUGCUGAGUGGAGGAGCAUGCACCCAACAACAGCACCAACAAACAGCCCAAACCAAAUACUAACAAAGGUGGAUUUAUAGCAGAGGAGCCGAGCAGCAUCAGCCUCAGCAGCAUCUCUGCUAACAGCAUCUCUCACCACGUGUAAAUAAACUAAUUUGUAAAUGAUGUUUGAACCGAGUCCUCCACACUUUAACAUCUGUAGUUUUAAAAGCUUGCGCCUUGCAAACAACAACAACCUGCCGCUUGCUGAAUGCCGACAAAAACGCCUCUUUGAUUGUUUUUUUUUUAUUUGUAUUUUUCUGCCCGUGUGUUUGUAGCUGUUUUACCAAACGCUCAGGACCAAAAGUGAAGGUUCACAUUCACCGUUUCAUGUCUUUAGCGAAAAGAAUCUGUUUUUAUCCCCGAAUCACCUGCACUGUAACCUGGAUGUUAUAAAACACUAACAGCGCCACCUGGCUGGAGGUAGAGGGUAGUACUUUGUGUUUGUGUUGUUGUAUUUUGUAAAUGAGUGAGUUGUGGAGAAAUGAUGAUGCUAGUUCCUGGCUAACACCUGAACAUCGCUAACAUCAACGUAAAGGGGGAACGUGACGGAAAUGUCCAGCAGGGGUGUGUCCACGAGGGCUAAUUUACAUAUAAUUAUCCCCACUAGCUUAAUUAGCUUCUGGCUGCGCGCUCUUAUCUCUGCUAAUGCUGUUAGCGCUGCUUAUUGUUAGCCUGCAGCUCCCAGGUUCUUCAGUUUGACCAUUUUAAGCCCUUAAUUAUCUUAUUAGGUGGAUAUGAAAUAAAUAAAUAACAUUAGCAGAAAGCUAAAGAGACCACUGUUAAUGCUAAGCUAGGCUAAUUAGCUUAAUCAGAUGAUACAAGGUCCAGCUGAGCUACUAAGGUGUUGGAGCAUCAAUAUUAAGCUUCAAACGCCACGAAGCUGAGGUAAACUAGCUUUAGCUGAUGCUAACAGUUAGCUUGAGUUCUACUGUUUGUUUUUAGUUGGUAAAAUUAAUAUCAGUCCAUAGCGGCUUAUUUUGCCGUCAAUAUCUUUUACAACAGACAUGAUAGUAGCUUUAGCUGAUGCUAACAGUUAGCCUGAGUUCUACUCUUUGUUUUUAGUUAGUAAAACAGACAACAUGAUAGUAGCUUUAGCUAAGGCUAACAGUUAGCAAUCAGAUGCUUAUGCUAGCUUGAGUGCAGCUGAGGAAAAGUCGUUGUAGUCCAAUUUGUCCGAAAGUAGUUUAUAUAUGUGAGUCCAGAGUGCAGACGUCACUACUUCCUGUUUGGAGGCCCCGCCCCCCUUAAACCCACCGUGGCCACGCCCCUGCUCACUACUAACCAGCUGUGUCAGGGCUUCACCAUCGAGCCAGACUUCCUCCACUUUUUAACCACUUCCUCUUGUGCAUGUUGAGAGAAAACGAGGAGAAACUCAUUGCCGCCCCCAAACUAUCUCCGAGCAGGACCGUUCCCACCCGAACCAGAACCCCGGGUAAACCCAGAACCCGGCGAGGACCAGGGGUCGCAGCGCCGCAAGAGAUCACUAUCAAGACCGACCCCCGGCCGGUUAACGCCCUCAUAAGUGGCUCUGCUUUCUCUGUCUCCACCUGUCUGACUUUAUACACAAACCAAACAAAAAGAAAAAAGACGAGGUUUGACACCUCAGAUUGAUCAGAAAUCACUUUAAAUGCCUUCAGACGUGUGUGAAUAUUCCUUUUUGUGGCAGGUGAAGGGUUUGGAUGAUGGACGGAGGGAGGGAGGGAGGGAGCUUUGGCUGAUUGUUUGGCAGUUCUGUUAAAAUGGAAGAAAAAAAAAAGUUAAGAAGCCAAAGAACCUGUAAGUUUUUUAUUCCAUUAGUGUCUUUUUGCUUGUAACAUAUUUGCAUUGAGUUUGUAGCAGCGAUGCUGGCGACGUUCACAGUGUCGGGACAUCAGAGGGUUUUUAUUUCUGUCACGUCAUUAUAACUUCUCAUCAUUCACUGUCACUUUUAGGAGGUUCAGUUUCAUUACGGCAGUUAAACAACGCUUCUCAUUCCUAUAUCUUAGACUUGGUAUUUAUCGGUUUCCUUUAUUCCGUCACAGCUAAUUUUACCGAAGGUGGAAUUGCAUGUCUGUGGUGUAUAUUUAGUACAUGUUUUUGUUUUUUGUUUAUUUUUUGUUUUUGUUUUUUUGUUACAUUUCGACUUGUUUUUAACCAGAAUAUAGUUGUUGUCAUUCCUGUCAUUUCUCAGUAUAGAAUGCGUCAGAAAUCUGCGCUAGACUAUGGAUGGUUUCCAUGGCGACCAUGGUCAUUGCUUCAUGUUUCAGCUGCAGAUUGUGAAUUCCACAGCCUUAUUUUCUUAUUUAUUUCUGAAAACAGAAGAGGCAUUUUUCAAUAAAACUACUGAAAAUCUA